AGCUUCAGUAGCGUAUAUUAAAGUUGUUGCAGUUAAAAAGCUCGUAGUCGCAUUUCUGGCGAGAGGAUCCGGUCCGACCUUUUGGUGGGUUCUUGGGUCUCUUUCGCCAUCCUUGAGUGGUCCGUUCUGGCAUUAGGUUGUCGGAGCGUCAGCCGCUCAUCGUUUACUGUGAGAAAAUUAGAGUGUUCAAAGCAGGCUUAUGCCGUUGAAUAUAUUAGCAUGGAAUAAUAAGAUAGGACCUCGGUACUAUUUUGUGUGUUUGCGCACCAAGGUAAUGAUGAACAGGGACAGUUGGGGGUAUUUGUAUUUCGUUGUCAGAGGUGAAAUUCUUAGAUUUACGAAAGACAAACUACUGCGAAAGCAUUUACCAAGGAUGUUUUCA
rnacentral:rRNA from 1 species